GAUGAAGAACGUAGCGAAAUGCGAUAAGUAAUGUGAAUUGCAGAAUUCAGUGAAUCAUCGAAUCUUUGAACGCACAUUGCGCCCCUUGGUAUUCCGGGGGGCAUGCCUGUUCGAGCGUCAUUACAACCCUCAAGCUCUGCUUGGUGUUGGGCCCCGCCGCCCCGGCGGGCCCUAAAGUCAGUGGCGGUGCCGUCCGGCUCCGAGCGUAGUAAUUCUUCUCGCUCUGGAGGUCCGGUCGUGUGCUCGCCAGCAACCCCCAAUUUUUUUCAGGUUGACCUCGGAUCAGGUAGGGAUACCCGCUGAACUUAAGCAUAUCAAUAAGCGGAGGA
rnacentral:misc_RNA from 1 species